GCGCCGCCGCCGACCCGAUCCGGAUCCAGCCCCAACCCACUUAUAUACCUUUGAUUUCACAUCCGCAGCCACGCCCUGCGCACCUCGGCGAAGCCCUGUCCGGCAAGGACAAGGCUCCGCCCGCAGCCACCGCCUCCGCCCCGGCUAUAAAGGUCCGCCCUUUGGCCGGUCCGCUCCUCCUCUCUUCGUCCGGGCCGCGCCUCUCGCCUCCGAUUCCAAAUCCAUCCGCCUUCUCGCGCCCCGCUCCCUCUCCGCUUGCGGGGCCGCGCCCCUCGCGCCGCUGGUGGAGCGUCGUGCGCCAGCUGCGCGCGGUGCGUCGAGGUGGAGGGCAGGGUCCUCCGGGUGGUGGCCAGGGGGCGGUGGUGCUCGUCGACGCGCUCCUCCUCCGCCGCCGCCGCCUGGUCCGGGUGGCAGUUCCCGCGGUCGCGCUCCUCCGCUGCCGCCGGCGUGUUCGAGAUCGUCUUCUUUGGAUUGACCCGCCCUUCCGAGGCAAUGUGUAGAGCCUCUCCUCCUCUCGCGUCUGGUUAGGUGAUUCGUCCUCGAUUCGUGCCUCUCCUCCUCUCGCCUCUGGUUUCAUGUUGCUCGUCCUCGCUCGAUUCGCCCGCUUAGAUUACAAGAAUCGCGUCUGAUUUAUUUGAUUCAGUUUUGCUCAUCCUUGAUUCGUCUGUUUUGAUUUGAUGAAGCGCGUCUGCUCGCCCUCGAUUCGUCCGUUUAGAUAGAAAUCGCGUCUGGUUUGAUUUGUUCGUCCUCGCCGUCACCCGUUUAGAAUCGCUUCUGAUAUGAUUUUGCUUGUCCUCGCUGUCGCCCUGAUGCUCUCGCGUGUUCUUGGGGCCGUCUCAUCGGGGGUCUCCGUCCCUGCGACUCUGGGAGGAAGCGAGCGAGCGGUCGGUCGGUUUGGGUCACCGUCUGGUUUGCGAGCUAGCAAUUCUGUUUGAGAAACGCGUGCGCUUCUGUUAUCCGACGAUCCCGCAUUUCGUGUUCAUGGUGGAGCGAUGAUUCCUGCGUUUCUGUUUGAGAAACUUGUGCGUGCGCUUCUGUUAUCUCACGAUCAUGCGUUCGUGUUGGCGUCGGGGCGACGGUUGCAGGAAAUCGGUUCCUCUGUUCCAUCACCUGCGUUGUUCGUCGGUUAUUUUCAGAUCUCAAACGCAUUGUGAUACUCUCGUUGCCCUCUGUCGAUUAUUGUUCUAUCGGUAGGCGCGUGUGCUUCCAUCCUAGAUGCAGAGAAUCCUUACCGUUGUUCUGAUGCUCUUCUUUUCAAUUGUUUAUUGUUAUCAUGCUUUGCUUAUCUUCCCAUAUGGCACGAUUGAUUGACUGUUGUUUGCUGUUUGAUUGAUUGCCUUGAGAUGGAUUGUUGUCUGUUGUUUGACUGAUUGCCUUGAGAUGGUUUGUUGUUUGUUGUUUGAUUGAUUGCCUUGAGAUGGAUUGUUGUUUGUUCUUUGAUGAUUGAUUGCCUUGAGAAGGUAAAAACCAUGCAGGCCAAUUGAUUGCUGUUUGUUGCCUUGAGAUGGUAUGCUUAUAUGGCACGAUUGGUUGCUGUUUGUUGCCUUGAGAUGGUACAUGUUUGUAUGGCACGAUUGAUUGCUGUUUGUGUAUGGUUAUUAAGAUUGAUUGCUGUUUGUUGAUUGGUAUCUAACUUUGGUAUAUGUAGUUCCUGAUCAUAGGUAAAAGACCUAGCACUAUUCUUUUUUCUGAACUUUUUUGUGAUUAUGUCUUAUGUGGAUAUCAUAUUCUUUUUUUGGUAUAUUACUGUUGUCAGUCCUUGGAAUAAUGCUUUUCUAAGUAUUUGAGGUACAGACAUGUUGAUCUGGACAUAUCACAUUUGCUCUUUAUUGUGUUGCUAAGGACACUGAUGGGUUGAGUUGGCAUAUAGGGCAGGUAUAUUUACAUUCGUUACAUUUUGCGAUGCGGAUGCCUGUAGUCCCAAAGUGUUUAUUUACCUGAUAUUUGCAUGGAUGUUUUCAUGAUGGCUAAUAUGAUUCGUUAUCGUUGUUCUGAUGGUGUGCUUCUGGUGUUUUAACUGAAGCCGUGGAUCGCUCAUCAACCUGGUCCUGUAGGUGAGUACAUGUUCCACUGGCAGGUCACUAUCAUGGGACCCUCAAGACAGCCCGGUUACCGGUGGUCUAUUUUUGGUGAACAUCCAUUUCCCAUCUGAUUAUCUCUUCAAGCCCCUGAAGACAUGAACCUAGUUCAGGUCUCUUUCCGCACCAAGGUGUUCCACCCAAUCAUCAACAUUCUCAAGGAACAGUGGAGCCCGGCUUUGACCAUAUCAAAGGCCCUCCUGCCAAUCUGUUCGUUGCUGACGGACCCCAACCCCGAUGAUCCUCUGGUGCCUGAGAUCGCUCACAUGUACAAGACUGAUCGGGCCAAGUAUGAGUCCACGGCAUGCUCCUGGACACAGAAGUACGCCAUGGGUGGAUGUAUAGGCAAGCAAUGUCGAGAGAGCUGAAGUCAAAGACGGCAAACCAGGCGAAUCAUUGGAGUUGCAGGACGAUCAAUCACCAGUCAUCUGAAUCUUCAUUUGUAAAUAUGACUGCUGGUGCUGCUGAUGAUGCUAGCCAUCGGCUUGGAACUGAUGAGAGGCAACCGCUGUUGCCAACUUGAAACAUAUAUUUUUUAGGAAUGAAGAUCUGAAUCACCCUCACCCCUCUAGAGAAAUCAGUUUACUCAUUCAGGUUCUGGAAUUUCUUUAUAGCUUUCUGAAUUUACUUCGUUCUUGCAUGUGUUAGCUUUCUGUCUGUGCCCCAAUCUAUGUCUACUUCCUUCUAUUUCUUGUGUGCAAGUGCUCCAUUGUGUGUGUGACUCUGUGCGUGUGAUGUGCCCCUAUCUAUCUCUGUUUCUUGUGUGCAAGCGCUCCACUGUGUGUCUGACUCUGUGUGUGACUGUGUGUGUGUGUGACUGUGUGUGUGACUGACUGUGUGUGUGACUAUGUGAAUGUUGCAUUUGCUUGUGUGUAUGUGACUUUGCGUGUGACUGACUGUGUGUGUGACUAUGUGAAUGUUGCAUUUGCUUGUGUGUACGUGACUUUGCGUGUUUGUGUGAAUGUUGCAUUUGCUUGUGUAUGUGACUUUGCGUGUUUGUGUGAAUGUUGCAUUUGCUUGAUGGUGUGGCCUGUAUGCUUUGCUGAAUGAUUGGUGUUGGUGUGGUUUAACACUGCCUUUGCCGGUCCCAAGCCCGGAUGUGAAAAUGUGGAGGGAGCUGCAUUUACCUCCUUCUGAAUUUUGUGGCUGAUGGAAUUCUAGUUUACUUAGAUGGUUAGCUUGUUAAUUAGUUUUGUGCAUGCAAGACUUGAAACCUAGCUGACGUAGUGUUUAGUUUCUGUACAUGAUAAAUGGUUUUGUUGUGCACCCGUUUUCUACUCUUGGAUGUUAACUUGCAUUUCUUGUGUUUCUGAAUUGAUUAUCUGUUGUAAGAUAUGGUUAGCAUAUAUAGUUCAUGGACAAAUGCCUUUGUGUGCAGCAGUUGUCAUACAUUUUAUUCAUUCCAAUGGUGAUUUUACUACUGGUUUUUGUGUGUUAGAACUUUUGCGGAAGUUCUGUGUACCCCAGUACCAAUGUAUAUGUAUUUCUGUGUCAUUUUGUACUCCCUCCGUCCGGAAAUACUACAUCCAUUCCUCCGACAAGUAUUUCCGGACGGAGGGAGUACUAUAACAUCACUGAAGCCAGUGGUUUAUUUGAGAUGAGUGACGUGAUUACAUUGUACCAGACAUGCGACUGCAACAGCUCAGUGUAUGAGUAUGCGCCCCGCGACAGCAAUUAUCUAGUUACUUUUGAACAAUUAGGUAGUUCACACUAUGCAGUUUUACUUGUAUUCAGGAAUGGAGCUUGUUCACUUCCUAGAUGCAGCAGGUUGUCCAUGUUGUGUUCAAUUUCUUUGAUUCACCUUUAUUUUCAUUCAGCAGGUUGUCCAUGUUGUGUGUUCCAUAUGGAUUAGACGCGGUCGACUACUUUGUCUUCGAUGCCGUGGCUCCUCAUUGGGUCUUUUGUACUUCUUCUGUGUGUUCAAUUUUUAAUCCCCAUUACGUGUGAUGCUCUUUAUUUCUGUGUAAUUUGAACCUCUGGUUGCGCUCUUGUUAGCGGUGUCUCUGCUCGUGUGGACACACAUGAUUUGAACCAUGACUUUUGAGCUGUGAUUCUGCUAGUGAGGCAAGCAUGAUUUUAGCGGUGUUUCCAUGCAAUUUUGAACCAUGCCUGUGUUAUGAUCUUGUGAAAACGUUGCGUGAAUAUUUAUUGCCAAUCGUGUGUCGUGCCAAUGCUGCCUUUGGUUGAUUGUUUGGCUUGUUGCUUAGCUGAAUGAUUGGUUUAGUAGUUUUGUAGUUUAGCACUGCCUUUGCCGGUCCCAAGCCCGGAUGAGAAACUGUGGAGGGGACUGCAGUUUGCUCCUCUAUUUAGAACUUUCACGGUCUCCAAAUAUUUCUCAAUAGUUUCAGAAACUGUCCUAGUCGAGUACGUUUUACUUGUAAGUGUAUAGGAAGCCUUGCAUGAAAGGCCUCCUGUACCACAAUUCUCUAGAAAGAUGCAGUUCAAUUGUUGUGGCUUCCCUAGAAAAUAUUAUGGUAUUUCUGGACAAGAGAUACGCAGUAGGGUAAAGUGUGCUCAACUUUUAUCCUUAUUUAAUUUUCUACUAGUAUAGAGUUAAGCCCAUGAUGAUUACCUACAUGUUGGAAUUACCGGCAGUGACGACAUUUUAUGGGCCUAUCUUGCUUGGAAACCCUUUUCUUGAUUAGUUAUUAAUCUAACAUGGGCCUAAUGGGGAAUUACACAGGAGCACCUAGGUGCUCUACCCACCCAAAUCAGUACAGAUGCAGUGCAUAUAGAUUCGGUUUGUUCGUCUUGAAUGUGUUGUAUUAAGUUCUGUAUGGCUAAAGUACUCCUUCAAAAACAUCUCGUACUAUAUGCAUGCUCUUUCGAAUGGUCCCACACGCGGCUCCCACCUGUACGCAUUUACUGCGACGCGGUGGGCGAUGGCUGAUAUUUUCGUAUUAUUUUUUACUAAAUGACUCCUCGGCGUCCUUAUUUUGCUCACUGACCCCCUCAAAAGCUUAUUUCGUUGCCUGACCCCAUUCGCGUCGGGCCGUAAGGCGCCGCACUUGCACGCCGCCGCGCAGCCCGCCAAGGCGCCAUUGACCGACGAUGACCGGCCGCCAGCGUCAGAGUGCCUGAUAUAUCCGAGUACCGGUGGAUGUGGUAGUUGCAUCCGACUAACAUAUCAGAUAGUCUUGAUGUGCUCCGUCGACACACUCGACCAUUCGGUGCGCUACAUAAGGCAGAUAAUCCGGCAUGUUAGGUUGGCGCGCUUGGGUCGAUGUGGGCCAUACCUGCACGCAGCCCUGCCUAGUAAUGCCGAAACUAAAGAAUACCUUGCUAGGCGCUUAAAAAGUCAGCCAGUCCGGCUAUCUGUUAAUGUGUGAUUGCUGUGUGGGUCCACGAUGGCAUUGGAAGCGUCCUAUUUAGCCACCGUACCCAGGUGAAACCAUCUGCCGUUUCUCCCCGGCCGCCCCCUCGUCAUCCUCUUUGCCGUCGCCUGUCCUCCUCUUCCCCGUUGUCGCUCGUCCUCAUCUUCCCCGGCAUUGGCCCCACCCGUGCAGGAUUUGUUUUCGAUGGCCGAUAAGCUAAGGAAGGCGAUGGUUGAGGUGUACAUGGAAGAACUGGAGCGACAAGUUCAUGCGAAGAUUGCCGGAACGCAGCCUGUUGGUGGCAAACCCAUUGAGUGAGGAUCCAGCAAUCCUUCGUCUCAUGUAAGUAAUCCCGUGGCAACAUAUGUACCGUUGGUUGAUUUCAAAUCUGUAGGAUCUAUCCUUUGUGGGUGGUUUCAAAUCUGCAGGCGAGCUGUAUGUAGAAACUGAUUGAAUCCUAGGUUUGUGGGACUGUCUAGAUUCAUGCCUGGGUUCAAAACGUCCAGAUUAGUAAAUAUUUAAUUAGUAUUAGGGUUUUCUAAUGCGCAGAAGGCUUCCUAAACCAGUAGUAAUAGAAUCUGUCAUUAUAGUUGGGAUUUGAUAUAUAUAAUCAGUAAAGCUGGAGGACAUGAAAAUAAGAGGGGUUGGUGUUAAUUUAUGGUUCUUUGAUGCGGGAAUAGGAAAAGUCGAAGAAGAGGGAAUGUGUGUGGAAACUUGAAAUGGAGCGCGGAACUACCAUACGUAAAGACUUGUUGAGAAACAUAUAGUUAAAGAAACUGCCUAAUGCUUUUAUCAAUUGAUUCUUUUGGAAUAAUAACAAUACAUUAGUAUCGGUAAAUUCAAAACAAGUGGUAUAUCAAUGCUUAAUGACCAUAAUAUAUAAUGAUCUAUGAACCCGAUUUCAUGCAAAGAUGGUUUGAUCUGAUCAUCUCUUCUCAUUAAAUAUGUGCUACGUAGACAAAGUUCUAACGUCGUGCCUAUUAUUGGAACGAUCUGUGGUUAGUUUUAGGCAAUUUUCAUGUGUACUGCUUUGUUUAUGCAUCGCUGUUCAGGGUUUAAGUGCUAGUGAUGAUUGCUGAUUACCAUCAUUUCACAGUUUUCACUGGUUUCUUCUAUAUUUAAUUAUGGCAUGCUAAGAGACGACGGCAAAGUGGGGAGCAUUGUGAGAGGUCUAUGCUUUUGCAGUAGUCUAAUUCCUACACUCUCAUCACUUUGAAUCUAUGAAUAUGUUAUACAUACAAGUUGGUAAAUAAAGGCACAUUUUGUGUUGUGCAUUACAAUGAACCUAGGGUUGUUCCCUUUCUUGCAACAAUCAUCAUGUGCAACCUUAUAGGUGAAGGUCUUGAUUGCCAGAUGUGAGGGCAUUGAAGUAUGUUGUGAAGAUUUUUCUCCCUAGUAAUACUUGGCAUGUCUUGGAAUUGUCGUUAGAUCAAGUUAGCUACACACAAUAUAUUCUCUGAAUGCAACAAGUGGCAUUAUGGAUGCAUUACAUAUUACCUAGUGGAUGGAUGUAAGAACACCAAAGUAAAAAGUAGUUGAGGUCUAAACAAAAGUGGCUUUAUGCCACAAAAUAGAUCAUAAUGUUAGAUUGCAAGUAUGAUCCCAAACAAAUUACUGUACAACAAAUUCAGUAAGUUAGCCGUCCCACAAGUGUAUGCUGGGAACACGGUGGUUUUUUGGCUUGAUCGCUGGCAGCUGGGUAAUAAUGUUGUCCUUUUGUGCGAGCAUUUCCCAAUGCUUCAUUCUUUUGUCAUUUAUGACACGGUCACAGUCAGAGAGUUUAUGGAGCAGCCGGAGGUCUCGGAACACUUCCAUCUGCCUCUGCCACAUGAGGCUUAUUUUGAGCUCACUCAACUUCAAGAUUUGCUGUCUUUGAUCAAUCUAAAUGUGGAGAGUAAGGACAUUUGGAAGUGGCCAUCUAAAUCUGGGGAGUUCAAAUCAAAGAUAUACUGGAUAUGAUGCAUCGCAGACAAUGGAUCAUACAGGAUGACACGUGUGUUCUUUGCCUCUGUGCUUCUCAUGAAGACCGGGCGCAUCUCUUCUUUGCUUGCAACUUCAGUCAAAGGGUUUGAAACUACCUUGGGAUUUCUUGGAUUGUUCAGCCAAACCAGACUACAUAUGAGAUGGCUCUUUCUGCUAAGAGGGAUUUUGGUUAUCCUUUCUUCACAGAGGUGGUCUUUGCUGCUACAUGGAAUAUCUGAACACAAAGGAAUGGGAAGAUCUUUAGAAAUGAGAGACCGUCCUUCAUAUCUUGGAGGAGGAAUUUCAUACAUGAUAUUUCCCUUUUGGCUCAUAGAAUCAAAUGUAAAUAUAAAGAUAGCUUAGUAUCUUGGAUAGCCACACUCUCUUAGGCCUCUUGUAAGUAUUUUCAUUUCUUUGUUUCACUUGUAAAUUGUACAUUUGUAAUCUCUCUAGUUCUUUGCAAUAAAGAACUGU